rnacentral:rRNA from 1 species
UACAGAGGUCUCAAGCGUUGUUCGGAUUCAUUGGGCGUAAAGGGUGCGUAGGUGGCGAGGCAAGUCGGAUGUGAAAUCCCGGGGCUCAACCCCGGAACUGCAUUCGAUACUGCUUUGCUAGAGUACUGGAGAGGAGAUUGGAAUUUACGGUGUAGCAGUGAAAUGCGUAGAUAUCGCUUGGAACGCCGAAGGUGAAAACAGGUUGCUGGGGAUGUGCCGACGCUGAGACACGAAAGCCAGGGGAGCAAACGGG